GAAAUCCUGCUGCUGUUAGAUUCCUCCCUCCAGCUUUCAUGUAGUCCUGCCUCCAAGGAAGAGUCAAAUAGUGGAGCAGCUGGUGAGCAUACCCUGCAUAACUCCUUCUGUCACUGCUUCCCUUCUGCACAGCUUUACAUGUGAGAGAUACAACUCCUUAGAGUAGUUUGGGCUGUAAUCCAAUAUAUUACAGUGCUAGUGACAUAGGUAGACAAAUCCAGGCAUCUAAAAAGAUGUUUACCUUGUGUGUAAAAUCAUAAUUAAAAGGUAUGUUGAACUAACAAAUGAAGCACUUGACUUAACUGACUUACCUGACAAAAU